AAUACGACGUCGUCUUGCAUACGUCUCUCUGCUUACCCCUUCUUCCUCAGUGUCGGCGGCCUACAAUUUAUGUCUCCACCAGCAGCAGCUUGUCGCAUCUUUGACACCUACGUGGUUUGACGUGGUUUGACGUGCGCACGCCACGUCUCUUCUUUCACUCCAUCCAUACCCGUAGGAGCAGGUUCCAAGUAAUAAUUUCAUAUUGUGUAGCAGCAGCAGACAUGACACUAAAUUCAUCAAGAAUUAAUCCCCACCACCAAAAGGUGAAGAAAUUUAGAUAAUUGCAGAGGAACUACAAAUUAGCUAAAUUGGCCAACAAGAUUGGAUCAAAAGAAAAGAAAUAAAUAAGUGCGUACCUUGCCGAAGAGGAACGAGGAGGUCGGAGCAGAAGCACAUGAAGCCAUCAGAUGUUGUCUGAGCAGAAAAGGUCGGUAUGCAAGGAGAAGCAGAAUGGGGCCUCUGCAAUUAUCUAAAUUUCUUCACCUUUUGGUGGUGGGGAUUAAUUCUUGAUGAGCUUAGUGUCAUGUCUGCUGCUGCUCUGCUGCUGCUGCUACCCUGUAUGAAAUUAUUACUUGGAACUUGUGCCUACGGGUAUGGAUGGAGUGAAAGAAGAGACGUGGCGUGCGCACGUUAAACAAUAUAGGUGGCAAAGAUGCGACAAACUGCUGCUGGUGGAGGCAAAAAUUGUAGGCCGCCGACACUGAGGAAUAAGGGGUAAGCAGAGAGAAGUAUGCAAAACGACGUCGUAUUUCGGGCAGCGGUUUGGCAAGAAAAUAAUCCCUGCUGGAAGACACCGACGGGCAUCGAACGAAGCGACGGCGGCGGCCAGAGUCAAACAGGUGCAGCCCUUAGAGUCGUCGAUUGCGGCGUGUCGAUUGAAGAAUUUCGGCAAAAAAAAAAACAGACACGACGCGGUCAAGCUGCUUGGGAAGAAAAAGAAAAAGAAAAGAAGGGGCGCAGCUGAUUGGGCGGAUGGAGGGGAAUGACGACGUUUCGUUAAUAAAGGGGCCAAACGAAAAAGGGAUAAAAAAUGCAUAUAAGGAAAUUCCCCCUUUUCUUUCUCAAUUUGUUUUGGCCCAUUUAAUACUGAUACUGCGCCGUUUUGUUCCCUCUCUCCAAUCAACGCCUCCCAUUCUUUUCAUUUCCAUUUAUUUUGGAAGCAGCUUGACCACGACGUCCUUGCUUUAUUUUCACUUUUCUUUUAAUCUGCCUCCUACAAAACGAUGUUGUUUCUGUUUCCUCCUCCUUGCCCGCUCACCACCGCCGAUCAGCAACGAACUGGCGCUACUGCCGGAGGGAGAGAACCGAUGAUAAGGAGGCCAAAAUAAGCCGGGAGCGGUCUGCGAGUCCGUGUAAUAUGAGAGGGCAAGAAGAACGUAUAGCGCGCGGCGGAAAAAAAAAUCAAAAGGAGCCUGCACGAUGAUGAAUUGGAAAGGAAUUACAACAACUGGUUUUCAAACUGAUAUGAACAAAACAUUUAGGGCUUCUGAUGAUGGCAGUGAAUGGAAUAAAAAAAUAUGAUGGCGGUGAAUAGAAUAAAAAAAAGAAAAGGGAAAAGAAAUUGAUAAAACCGGGCCACAUCCUUUUCUUUUGGCCCCUUUAUUAACGAAACGUCGUCGUCCCCCUCGAUCCGCCCAAUCACCUGCCCCCCUUCUUUUCUUUCCCCUUUUCUUCCGAAGCAGCUUGACCGCGUCGUGUUUGCUUCCUUUUUUCUUUUUCUUUUUUUGCCGAAAUUCUUCAAUCGACACGCCGCAAUCGAAGACACUGUUGACUCUGGCCGCCGUCGUCGCCCCGUUCGAUGCCCGCCGGCGUCUGCCAGCACGGAUUAUUUUCUUGCCAUACGGCUGCCCGAAAUACGACGUCGUCUUGCAUGCUUCUCUCUGCUUACCCUUUCUUCCUCAGUGUCAGCGGCCUACAAUUUAUGUCCGCACCAGCAGCAGCUUGUCGCAUCUUUGCCACCUAUGUUGUUUGAUGUGCGCACGCCACGUCUCUUCUUUCACUCCAUCCAUACUCAUAGGCGCAGGUUCCAAGUAAUAAUUUCAUACUGGGUAGUAGCAGCAGACAUGAC
rnacentral:lncRNA from 1 species